rnacentral:rRNA from 1 species
UCGAGCGCACCUUCGGGUGAGCGGCGGACGGGUUAGUAACGCGUGGGAACGUACCCUUUUCUACGGAAUAGCCUUUGGAAACGAANAGUAAUACCGUAUACGCCCUUUGGGGGAAAGAUUUAUCGGAGAAGGAUCGGCCCGCGUUAGAUUAGAUAGUUGGUGGGGUAACGGCUUACCAAGUCUACGAUCUAUAGCUGGUUUUAGAGGAUGAUCAGCAACACUGGGACUGAGACACGGCCCAGACUCCUACGGGAGGCAGCAGUGGGGAAUCUUAGACAAUGGGCGCAAGCCUGAUCUAGCCAUGCCGCGUGAGUGAUGAAGGCCUUAGGGUCGUAAAGCUCUUUCGCCUGUGAUGAUAAUGACAGUAGCAGGUAAAGAAACCCCGGCUAACUCCGUGCCAGCAGCCGCGGUAAUACGGAGGGGGUUAGCGUUGUUCGGAAUUACCGGGCGUAAAGCGCACGUAGGCGGAUUGGAAAGUUGGGGGUGAAAUCCCGGGGCUCAACCCCGGAACUGCCUCCAAAACUAUCAGUCUAGAGUUCGAGAGAGGUGAGUGGAAUUCCAAGUGUAGAGGUGAAAUUCGUAGAUAUUUGGAGGAACACCAGUGGCGAAGGCGGCUCACUGGCUCGAUACUGACGCUGAGGUGCGAAAGUGUGGGGAGCAAACAGGAUUAGAU